UCCUGGUUAACCCAGGCAGUCUCACUAGAGUUCCCAGCAUUACCUGUUGGCAACUAAUGAUAAGGGUUGCGCUCGUUGCGGGACUUAACCCAACACCUCACGGCACGAGCUGACGACAGCCAUGCAGCACCUGUGCAGCGGCCCCGAAGGGAGAGUGUAUUUCUACACCUGUCCACUGCAUGUCAAGUCUGGGUAAGGUUCUUCGCGUUGCAUCGAAUUAAACCACAUGCUCCACUGCUUGUGCGGGUCCCCGUCAAUUCUUUUGAGUUUCAGCCUUGCGACUGUACUCCCCAGGCGGUAUACUUAACGCGUUCGCUUCGACACAACCAGGGUUGAGUCCGGUUACAUCUAGUAUACAUCGUUUACGGCAAGGACUAC
rnacentral:misc_RNA from 1 species